rnacentral:rRNA from 1 species
AUUGAACGCUAGCGGGAUGCUUUACACAUGCACGUCGAACAAGUGGCGGACGGGUGAGCACUAUAUUGGAACGUGCCCAGUAGCGGGGGAUAACUAUUCGGAAGAGUGGCUAAUAGCGCAUACUUUUGGAGCCGCCCCUAUUGGAUUCGCUAGUUGGUGGGGUAAAGGCUCACCACGGCAACGAUCCGUAGCUGGGUUGAGAGGACGACCAGCCACACUGGGACUGAGACACGGCCCAGACUCCUACGGGAGGCAGCAGUGGGGAAUUUUGGACAAUGGGGGAAACCCUGAUCCGGCCAUCCCGCGUGUAUGAGAAGGCCUUCGGGGUGUAAAGUACUUUUGGCAGGGAAGCGGUAUCUGCAGAAUAAGGCCCGGCUAACUACGUGCCAGCAGCCGCGGUAAUUC